UACAGAGGGUGCGAGCGUUAAUCGGAUUUACUGGGCGUAAAGCGUGUGUAGGUGGCCGCGUAAGUCGAUUGUGAAAGCCCUGGGCUCAACCCGGGAAUUGCAGUCGAUACUGCGUGGCUCGAGUUCGGUAGAGGACGGCAGAAUUCUCGGUGUAGCGGUGAAAUGCGUAGAUAUCGAGAGGAAUACCGAUGGCGAAGGCAACCGUCUGGGCCUGAACUGACACUGUGACACGAAAGCGUGGGUAGCAAACAGG
rnacentral:rRNA from 1 species